AACCGCUUGAAACCAGUAUUGCGCAGCAAAAAUCAGCCAUUCAUAUCGAGUGGUGCACUUUUUGUUGUUGCAGGUCAUCAUCAGUUUGAUUUGGAGUACAAAGCCGCCGGAGGUUGACUUCGGUCUAGUCGGCGGUAAUGCUCUGGGUUGGACUGAGGACUGCAGCUCUGUAUUUGGGUACCUAGUCGCCAUUCGAACGGCGUGUGCAGACAACUUGUUGAUUGUACUCGCAAUUAGAUUGCCCGGCCAGCUUGCCACAACUGAGCUUAGGAUGUUGACGAAAUGGUUUUAAACGA
rnacentral:rRNA from 1 species